rnacentral:lncRNA from 1 species
GCAGGGUCUCCUGACCUUCUGAAAGAUACAUGGGUAUGUUUAUGGAGGAAGUAAAGAAAAUAUUUUUUAUGGGAGAUAAGGGUCAUGGUGAUGAUCCAAAUCAUGGAUCCAGGUGAUGUCAAACUUUAGAAGAUCAAUGGAAAAGAGAACCUGACCAAUCCAUUUACUAAAGCCUCAAUAUCUAGGAGUUCUGAGAUAAUAAAUCAAAGAUGAGUAUAUGAUACUAUGCUGAUUGGCUUUAGUCCAAGCGGGAGUUGUUGGGAAUUAUGUUCUAGAGCCAAUCAUUUGAUGAUUGUGCUAAUUAUAAAUAUAUAUG